rnacentral:rRNA from 1 species
GAUGAACGCUAGCGGCAGGCCUAACACAUGCAAGUCGAGGGAGAGGUUACCUUCGGGUAACCAAAACCGGCGCACGGGUGCGUAACGCGUAUACAAUCUGCCUUUCACAUAGGGAUAGCCCGAAGAAAUUUGGAUUAAUACCUAAUGGUAUAUAAGAGCGGCAUCGUUUUUAUAUUAAAGCUACGGUGGUGAAAGAUGAGUAUGCGUUCUAUUAGCUAGUUGGAGAGGUAACGGCUCCCCAAGGCGACGAUAGAUAGGGGUUCUGAGAGGGAUGUCCCCCACACUGGUACUGAGAUACGGACCAGACUCCUACGGGAGGCAGCAGUGAGGAAUAUUGGACAAUGGUCGGAAGACUGAUCCAGCCAUGCCGCGUGCAGGAUGAAGGUCCUAUGGAUUGUAAACUGCUUUUGUAAGGGAAGAAUAAGGAGUACGUGUACUUUGAUGACGGUACCUUACGAAUAAGCAUCGGCUAACUCCGU